rnacentral:lncRNA from 1 species
GGCAAAUCAGAGCUCUACCUUUCAUGCCACCAUGCCCCCCUGCACGGGCCUCUUCCUCUGACAUGGCAUGGGUGUCCUCAGCUCUUCCACAGCACUUGCUGAUAACGGCUAGCUUUGCUGAUGGCCAUUUUCUUCUGCUGGACAUAAGUCAUCCCUCCUUCUCUGCCUCCCUUCCUCCUCCUUCCCUAUCCACAAACCUGCCAGCCCUGGGAGAAAUGCCGAGUUUAAAAUGAAGACCUCAGAGGAACUCAUUUACUGAUAGAUGCAGCAGAGAUCAGAAGCCUCAGCAGUUUUGAAAUCUGGGAAGGAAAGAAAAAUGCUCUUUUUGGAACUAUGAGCUAAGUGGGUCUCUGACCUUGAAGAAGCCCCUGGCUCUGUGAUCAGAGUGACUGAUUAGGGAGGCUGAUUAAAGUAUGUUUUGUACACGUGCAAUCUGCCAAAAUGCACCCUAUGAAUCUGUAUAACCCAUAUGCACUUAUAAAAAAUGUGGGAAAAGCUUUGUGUGGUGGCACAU